UUUGAAACGUGAGCGCUAGCUUACGUGGAGGCGCUGGUGGGAUACUACCCUAGCUGUGUUGGCUUUCUAACCCGCACCACUUAUCGUGGUGGGAGACAGUGUCAGGCGGGCAGUUUGACUGGGGCGGUCGCCUCCUAAAAGGUAACGGAGGCGCUCAAAGGUUCCCUCAGAAUGGUUGGAAAUCAUUCAUAGAGUGUAAAGGCAUAAGGGAGCUUGACUGCGAGACCUACAAGUCGAGCAGGGUCGAAAGACGGACUUAGUGAUCCGGUGGUUCCGCAUGGAAGGGCCAUCGCUCAACGGAUAAAAGCUACCCCGGGGAUAACAGGCUUAUC
rnacentral:rRNA from 1 species